GAUGAACGCUGGCGGCGUGCCUAAUACAUGCAAGUCGAGCGAAUGGAUUAAGAGCUUGCUCUUAUGAAGUUAGCGGCGGACGGGUGAGUAACACGUGGGUAACCUGCCCAUAAGACUGGGAUAACUCCGGGAAACCGGGGCUAAUACCGGAUAACAUUUUGAACCGCAUGGUUCGAAAUUGAAAGGCGGCUUCGGCUGUCACUUAUGGAUGGACCCGCGUCGCAUUAGCUAGUUGGUGAGGUAACGGCUCACCAAGGCAACGAUGCGUAGCCGACCUGAGAGGGUGAUAGGCCACACUGGGACUGAGACACGGCCCAGACUCCUACGGGGGGUAGCAGUAGGGAAUCUUCCGCAAUGGACGAAAGUCUGACGGAGCAACGCCGCGUGAGUGAUGAAGGCUUUCGGGUCGUAAAACUCUGUUGUUAGGGAAGAACAAGUGCUAGUUGAAUAAGCUGGCACCUUGACGGUACCUAACCAGAAAGCCACGGCUAACUACGUGCCAGCCGCCGCGGUAA
rnacentral:rRNA from 1 species